GAAGAUGAAGAUGGUUCCCGUUUGGCUUAUGAGUUGAGCCUAGCCUAUGUUGGGGUUGUUUUGGUUGGAUAAGCGAUUGAGGUUGGGUAGCUUUGGAGAGC